rnacentral:lncRNA from 1 species
UUCUUCAUUCUUGAAGUUUCCAAUGCCAUUCUCUCAUUCUCCCAUGGAAAACUAAUUUUCUUUCAUUUUCUUUCCUUGUUUUCUUUUCAUUUCUUUUCUCUUCUUGCUUCAUUCUUCUCCCAACUUCUUGUGCACCAAAGUUACAACUUCUAACCCAAAUUUCCAGCACAUAUAAACUCUAGGAGAAGAAGAAAGAAAAANNNN